rnacentral:rRNA from 1 species
GACGAACGCUGGCGGCGUGCCUAAUACAUGCAAGUCGAACGCACAGUUUAUACCGUAGCUUGCUCCACCAUAGACUGUGAGUUGCGAACGGGUGAGUAACGCGUAGGUAACCUGCCUGGUAGCGGGGGAUAACUAUUGGAAACGAUAGCUAAUACCGCAUAAUAUUAAUUAUUGCAUGAUAAUUAAUUGAAAGGUGCAAUUGCACCACUACCAGAUGGACCUGCGUUGUAUUAGCUAGUAGGUGAGGUAACGGCUCACCUAGGCGACGAUACAUAGCCGACCUGAGAGGGUGAGAGGCCAAGCUGGGAGUGAGAAACGGCCCAGACCCCUACGGGAGGGAGCAGGAGGGAACCGGCGGCAAGGGAAGAAAGUCUGACCGGGGGACGCCGGGUGAGUGAAGAAGGGUUUCGGAUCGUAAAGCUCUGUUGUAAGGGAAGAACGGGUGUGAGAGUGGAAAGUUCACACUGUGACGGUAGCUUACCAGAAAGGGACGGCUAACUACGUG